rnacentral:rRNA from 1 species
CAGACUACCUCAAGACGUGUUGCUGAUAGGAAAAUUGCAGUAUUUGAGAAGAAUAUCACUAAGAGGGGUUCUGUUCCCGAGACAGUCAAGAAGGGAAAUGAUUAUCCUGUUGGACCUAUCGUGCUUGGAUUUUUCGUCUUCGUUGUUGUUGGGUCAUCUCUGUUCCAGAUCAUCAGGACAGCCUCAAACGCCGGUCUCUUCUGA